GAGCAAAUUGUAGGCAUUCAUGAAACCCAAAAUAAUCGUAGUGAACUUGCAAAGGCUCAGGACUCAGGGAAGCCUGCCUUUGAAAUUUCUUGUGCUCUUGUAGGACACCUCCCCAUCUUGUGAGAGUGUUAGACAAAGACAAGUCUAUCAGCACCCAGCUGAGAGAACUGAAUAAAGAAGUAAAGAAAAAACAAUGAGAACAAAUCCCAAAUGCCAACCUUGAUGGCCUAAGAGGACAUGAUCCCUAUAUCACCUAGCUCAAAGUUUUUGACGCCUACGUCAGCACCAGAUAGAAAGCAAGGACGGCAGCUUGCCAGCCACACCCCUCCACACACACCCCCAGCAUUGGUAAUCACGAGGUUGACGGA